rnacentral:rRNA from 1 species
AAUGAAAAGACGGACAUUUGCUUCGACUCGUUCACAGCAGAAGCAAUUGCAGUGAGGUUUGGUUUGAAUCUUGCUAAUACCGUUGGAUGUAGUAAGAUUGAAGUGAAUUCGGAUAGCGUGGAGGUGGUGAAUGCGUUGAGCCAAGGCUACUCUUCUUCAGUCGCUUCAUCCAUUAUAGACGACUGUUAUUUCAUGUCAUUAGGUUUUUCCCAUGUCAUUUAUGAUCAUUGUAAUAGGGAACGUAAUCGAGUAGCUCAUGAACUAGCAAGGUUAGCUAGGUUUUCUUCUCCGAGGGUUUGGAUGGAUAACGCCACUGAUGAGGUUAUCCCUUUACUUGUAAACGAUGCUACUUUACUUAUGAAC